CCCUGCCCCCACUGCAGUCAGGAGGAAGUGAUUCUGUAAGGUCUCCCAGGGACUCCCAGGGCUGGCUCAGACAUCAGACUGUUAAGUAAGUGGGAUUUUUUUUAGUGUUUUCAGAAACCGUUGUUUAAAUAUAUAUAUAUAACCAUCUAAACUGUUUACGUAACCCUUGGGAAGUCUCGACAGAAAUGGCUCCCUCUCUGUAACUAGGGCCAGGACUUAAAAAAAAUAAAGUAGAGGGGCUGUCAAAAUUGGAGAGGCUGUCACGUUGCAGCUCUGUGCUUUUGUAACCCAGUUCAAAAUUUUACUCUGCUUUGUGAAGUUUGUUUUCACGCACUUUCCCUCUUUUCUGGUUUUCUUUUCCUUCAUUGCUGGCUGCUAUGCCCUGAACACCUCUGACAGUUUCUGGGAACAUCAGAACUGUUACCCUGGAGACCAGAAUCUGCCCAGAACUCAGGUUUGUAGGGGUGUUUGGAAUGACUAUGCUGGAAUUCAUUUAAAAGCCUAGUAAUACUCUAUUCUCAUAGAUAUUCCAUGUCUGCCAGGCUCCACACAGCUCCCUUCUCCCUCCACACAGCUGCAGGGUCUGCUCUGUCUCUGGGUUGUCCUCUUGGAGGGGAGCAUCAGACCACCUGGUCCAACUCUCAGGUUCAGUUCUCUGGAUCUGUGCCAACAGAAUCCCGAUGGUCCCUAAGCCACAAAUUCUGAAUUUUGAUUCAAGGCGGAUGCAAAGUUCAUGGGGAGACAAUCACAGUGUGAAGGUGGUGGAGUUCCACAGCCUCGAGGUGCUUGGAGGGGCUGGUGAACACUCCAGUCAAUAUGUGCUGUGUACUUACACUGUGGCAGGUUUUGAGGUUUGAGGGGACAAAAUUUUGAGAAAAGUGUGGCUAAGAAUACUCCAGCUUGGGAAGCAGUAAUCUACAAAUAGCAGCACAGAGGCAAGGGACAAUUGACUCUGCAUGGUGUGAUCAGAGAAGGUGACCCAGAGGGGUGACACUUAAGCUGGGCUUUGAAAUCACAAUUUGAGAGGUACUGCUGGGGAGAAGUGGCAUUCCAGGCAGGCAGAACUGGGUGAACAAAGGUCAAGGCUGGGG
rnacentral:lncRNA from 1 species